AGCAGAGAGGCUGCUCUGAAUUUAAAAAGUUAUUUCUGUUCGUUUAUUCCUUGCUAUGGGCACCCACAGUGUCUCAGGAACCAUAGUAGGUUCUGGGGACUAAAGAUGCGUCGGACAGGAUCCUUGGACUGAAGAAACUGCCGUCUUGUGAAAGAAACACCCCUUCACUGCGUGUACAGGCAUCCGUGGUGGACUCUGCAUCACCCCAUGGGACUCAGAGGGCGUGGGAACCUGGACAAACAUCAGAGCGACACUCUGCCUGCUGCUUUUGCCACAGGCUCGGAGGCGAGACCAUGUGAAGACACAGGGAACGUGGAAGGCCAUCUACAAGCCAAGGAGACGGGCCUCAGAAGAAACCAACCCCCUGAUGCCUCGAUCUCCAACUUGCAGCCUCCAGAACUGUG